AUUGAACGCUGGCGGCAUGCUUUGCACAUGCAAGUCGAACGGUAACAGGCCGCAAGGUGCUGACGAGUGGCGAACGGGUGAGUAAUGCAUCGGAACGUGCCCAGUCGUGGGGGAUAACUAUCCGAAAGGAUAGCUAAUACCGCAUACGAUCUGCGGAUGAAAGCGGGGGACCUUCGGGCCUCGCGCGAUUGGAGCGGCCGAUGUCAGGUUAGGUAGUUGGUGGGGUAAAGGCUCACCAAGCCAACGAUCUGUAGCUGGGCUGAGAGGACGACCAGCCACACUGGGACUGAGACACGGCCCAGACUCCUACGGGAGGCAGCAGUGGGGAAUUUUGGACAAUGGGCGCAAGCCUGAUCCAGCAAUGCCGCGUGCAGGAAGAAGGCCUUCGGGUUGUAAACUGCUUUUGUACGGAACGAAACGGCUCUGGUUAAUACCUGGGGCUAAUGACGGUACCGUAAGAAUAAGCACCGGCUAACUACGUGCCAGCAGCCGCAGUAA
rnacentral:rRNA from 1 species